rnacentral:lncRNA from 1 species
AAGCGCGUGCAGUGGAAUUAUAAAUAGAAAGCAUACCCUGAAUUAUAACAGGAGUGGUGGGAGCACUGAGCUCAUCUAAGUGGUGAACACGUCCCUGGGCAAUUGGCCUGGCGAGGUCCUUGUGCCUCUGUGGGCAAUCCUUUACCAAAAAGUGUGUAGUCCAUGGUAGCGACCACAAUGUCAGCAAGGAGGAGAAGUCCGAAUAGGAUCUCUAAUAGGCGAGGGCAAAGUAGUAGGGGCAGGAACAACACGGGGUCUCAUGUUU